GGAUUGUUCACCCACCAAUAGGGAACGUGAGCUGGGUUUAGACUGUCGUGAGACAGGAUAGUUUUACCCUACUGAUGACAGUGUCGCAAUAGUAAUUCAACCUAGUACAAGAGGAACCGUUGAUUCGCACAAUUGGUCAUCGCACUUGGUUGAAAAGCCAGUGGCGCGAAGCUACCGUGCGCUGGAUUAUGACUGAACGCCUCUAAGUCAGAAUCCAGGCUAGAAGCGACGCAUGCGCCCGCCGUCCACUUGCCGACCAGCUGUAGGGGUCAUCCGGCCCUCAAAGGCACGUGUCAUUGGUGAAGUAGAAUUCCUAUCUCGAGCGGCGGGUAGAAUCCUCUGCAGACGACUUAAAUACGUGACGGGGUAUUGUAAGUGGCAGAGUGGCCUUGCUACCACGAUCCAGUGAGAUUCAGCCCUGCGUCGCUCCGAUUCGUCCCUCCC
rnacentral:rRNA from 1 species